rnacentral:rRNA from 1 species
GACGGAGGAUGCAAGCGUUAUCCGGAAUGAUUGGGCGUAAAGCGUCCGCAGGUGGCAGUUCAAGUCUGCUGUCAAAGACCGGGGCUUAACUUCGGAAAGGCAGUGGAAACUGAACAGCUAGAGUAUGGUAGGGGCAGAGGGAAUUCCUGGUGUAGCGGUGAAAUGCGUAGAUAUCAGGAAGAACACCUAUGGCGAAGGCAGCUCUCUGGGACGGUACUGACGCUGAGACGCGAAAGCGUGGGGAGCGAACAGG